UACGAAGGGGGCUAGCGUUGCUCGGAAUGACUGGGCGUAAAGGGCGCGUAGGCGGAUGGCACAGUCAGAUGUGAAAUUCCCGGGCUUAACCUGGGGGCUGCAUUUGAUACGUGUGAUCUAGAGUGAGGAAGAGGGUCGUGGAAUUCCCAGUGUAGAGGUGAAAUUCGUAGAUAUUGGGAAGAACACCGGUGGCGAAGGCGGCUCACUGGCUCAUUACUGACGCUGAGGCACGAAAGCGUGGGGAGCAAACAGG
rnacentral:rRNA from 1 species